rnacentral:misc_RNA from 1 species
GAUGAAGAACGCAGCGAAAUGCGAUACGUAAUGUGAAUUGCAGAAUUCAGUGAAUCAUCGAAUCUUUGAACGCAUAUUGCGCUCUCUGGUAUUCCGGAGAGCAUGCUUGUUUGAGUAUCAGUAAACACCUCAACUUCCAUAUCUUUUUUGAAAUGGGAGUUGGACUUGAGUGAUCCCAACGCUUUUCCUCACCGAAAAGUGGCGGGUUACUUGAAAUGCAGGUGCAGCUGGACUUUUCUCUGAGCUAUAAGCAUAUCUAUUUAGUCUGCCUAAAAAACAGAUUAUUACCUUUGCUGCAGCUAACAUAAAGGAGAUUAGUUCUUGUGCUGACUGAUGCAGGAUUCACAAGACAGGCUUCGGCCGACUUUGUAAACUCGAUCUCAAAUCAAGUAAGACUACCCGCUGAACUUAAGCAUAUCAAUAAGCGGAGGA